rnacentral:rRNA from 1 species
AGCGAACGCUGGCGGCAGGCCUAACACAUGCAAGUCGAACGAACCCUUCGGGGUUAGUGGCGGACGGGUGAGUAACACGUGGGAACGUGCCUUUAGGUUCGGAAUAACUCAGGGAAACUUGUGCUAAUACCGAAUGUGCCCUUCGGGGGAAAGAUUUAUCGCCUUUAGAGCGGCCCGCGUCUGAUUAGCUAGUUGUUGAGGUAAUGGCUCACCAAGGCUACGAUCAGUAGCUGGUCUGAGAGGAUGACCAGCCACAUUUGGACUGAGACACGGCCCAAACUCCUACGGGAGGCAGCAGUGGGGAAUCUUGCGCAAUGGGCGAAAGCCUGACGCAGCCAUGCCGCGUGGAUGAUGAAGGUCUUAGGAUUGUAAAAUCCUUUCACCGGUGAAGAUAAUGACUGUAGCCGGAGAAGAAGCCCCGGCUAACUUCGUGCCAGCCGCCGCGGUAAAAC